UCUCUGUAUUUCUGUAUUUAAGCAGGUAGAAGGCUGCGAGGAACGACCUGUUUUCCUAAACCAAACUUGUAUGAAGUCACCAUGGGAAUGAAUUGGAAAUUCUAGAAUCUGGCGAUUGCUGGACGUGUUGAUGCUAAAUUCAUUGCCAACAGCAGCGAGCCAAAGGAAAGGGCAAAACAAUUUUUGGGCCACCUACAAGCACCACCAUUCAAAGCCAAUCUCGUUAGCAUUUUAAACAUAUAGCCAAGUAACCUCCAGGGUAUCCCCAGUGCUGGGCUUAUCCUACUUGGUUGAAUAUUUUAUUAAACAAAACAUCAAAUUGUACUGGAAAAAUAAACAGCAUUUAAACUCGGGAUAAAUAAAAGGACACCAAAAUGGCGGCAUGAGAACAGAGGUUCUCAAUGGCAGUACAUACAAAGGAAUAUGCCUAAGUCUGCAGUUGGCUUCGGGAAGAAUCUCCCCACGCUCACUUUCAGUAAUACUCUCACUGACAGAAUUCUCCACCAUUUCUCCUGUGAUAUAAAUCCAAGUCAAUAAAAUCUCUUUUUUGUUGGCACUAAAUGCAACAACUCUUACUCCAAAUGGGACU